AACGGCAGCGCGGGGCAACCUGGCGGCGAGUGGCGAACGGGUGAGUAAUAUAUCGGAACGUACCCUGGAGUGGGGGAUAACGUAGCGAAAGUUACGCUAAUACCGCAUACGAUCUAAGGAUGAAAGUGGGGGAUCGCAAGACCUCAUGCUCCUGGAGCGGCCGAUAUCUGAUUAGCUAGUUGGCGGGGUAAAAGCCCACCAAGGCAACGAUCAGUAGCUGGUCUGAGAGGACGACCAGCCACACUGGAACUGAGACACGGUCCAGACUCCUACGGGAGGCAGCAGUGGGGAAUUUUGGACAAUGGGCGCAAGCCUGAUCCAGCAAUGCCGCGUGAGUGAAGAAGGCCUUCGGGUUGUAAAGCUCUUUUGUCAGGGAAGAAACGGUGGGGGCUAAUAUCCUCCGCUAAUGACGGUACCUGAAGAAUAAGCACCGGCUAACUACGUGCCAGCAGCCGCGGUAAUACGUAGGGUGCAAGCGUUAAUCGGAAUUACUGGGCGUAAAGCGUGCGCAGGCGGUUUUGUAAGUCUGUCGUGAAAUCCCCGGGCUCAACCUGGGAAUUGCGAUGGAGACUGCAAGGCUAGAGUUUGGCAGAGGGGGGUAGAAUUCCACGUGUAGCAGUGAAAUGCGUAGAUAUGUGGAGGAACACCGAUGGCGAAGGCAGCCCCCUGGGUCAAAACUGACGCUCAUGCACGAAAGCGUGGGGAGCAAACAGGAUUAGAUACCCUGGUAGUCCACGCCCUAAACGAUGUCUACUAGUUGUCGGGUCUUAAUUGACUUGGUAACGCAGCUAACGCGUGA
rnacentral:rRNA from 1 species